UUUUACAGUUUUUAGUUAUCAGUUUUUAAAAUCAGUACUUUUUAAUGGAAACAACUUGACCAAAAAUUUGUCACAGAAUUUUGAGACCCAUUAAAAAAGUUUAAUGAG